GGGCCUGUAGCUCAGCUGGACAGAGCGCAAGGUUCCUAACCUUGAAGUCGAGGGUUCGAAUCCCUUCAGGUCCG
rnacentral:tRNA from 1 species